UGGCAGCAUCUGAGCCCAGCUGAG
rnacentral:piRNA from 1 species